rnacentral:rRNA from 1 species
GAUGAACGCUGGCGGCGUGCCUAAUACAUGCAAGUCGAGCGAACGGACGAGAAGCUUGCUUCUCUGAUGUUAGCGGCGGACGGGUGAGUAACACGUGGAUAACCUACCUAUAAGACUGGGAUAACUUCGGGAAACCGGAGCUAAUACCGGAUGAUAUUUUGAACCGCAUGGUUCAAAAGUGAAAGACGGUCUUGCUGUCACUUUAGAUGGAUCCGCGCUGCAUUAGCUAGUUGGUAAGGUAACGGCUUACCAAGGCAACGAUGCAUAGCCGACCUGAGAGGGUGAUUGGCCACACUGGAACUGAGACACGGUCCAGACUCCCACGGGAGGCAGCAGUAGGGAAUCUUCCGCAAUGGGCGAAAGCCUGACGGAGCAACGCCGCGUGAGUGAUGAAGGUCUUCGGAUCGUAAAACUCUGUUAUUAGGGAAGAACAUAUGUGUAAGUAACUGUGCACAUCUUGACGGUACCUAAUCAGAAAGCCACGGCUAACUACGUG